rnacentral:rRNA from 1 species
GACGAACGCUGGCGGCGCGCCUAACACAUGCAAGUCGAACGAGCGAGCGGAGGUUUACUUUCUCAAGCGAGUGGCGAACGGGUGAGUAACGCGUGAGGAACCUGCCUCAAAGAGGGGGACAACAGUUGGAAACGACUGCUAAUACCGCAUAAGCCCACGACCCCGCAUCGGGUAGAGGGAAAAGGAGCAAUCCGCUUUGAGAUGGCCUCGCGUCCGAUUAGCUAGUUGGUGAGGUAAUGGCCCACCAAGGCGACGAUCGGUAGACGGACUGAGAGGUUGAACGGCCACACUGGCGCGAGGACACGGUCGAGACUCCUACGGGAUGCAGGAGUGGGGAAUAUUGCAAAAUGGCGGAAACCCUGAUGCAGCGACGCUGGGUGGAGGAAGAAGGUCGUCGGGUUGUAAACUCCUGUUGUUGAGGAAGAUAAUGACGGUACUCAACAAGGAAGUGACGGCUAACUACGUG